rnacentral:rRNA from 1 species
GACGAACGCUGGCGGCGUGCCUAAUACAUGCAAGUAGAACGCACAGUUUAUACCGUAGCUUGCUACACCAUAGACUGUGAGUUGCGAACGGGUGAGUAACGCGUAGGUAACCUGCCUGGUAGCGGGGGAUAACUAUUGGAAACGAUAGCUAAUACCGCAUAAUAUUAAUUAUUGCAUGAUAAUUAAUUGAAAGGUGCAAUUGCACCACUACCAGAUGGACCUGCGUUGUAUUAGCUAGUAGGUGAGGUAACGGCUCACCUAGGCGACGAUACAUAGCCGACUUGAGAGGGUGAUCGGCCACACUGGGACUGAGACACGGCCCAGACUCCUACGGGAGGCAGCAGUAGGGAAUCUUCGGCAAUGGACGAAAGUCUGACCGAGCAACGCCGCGUGAGUGAAGAAGGUUUUCGGAUUGUAAAGCUCUGUUGUAAGAGAAGAACGGGUGUGAGAGUGGAAAGUUCACACUGUGACGGUAUCUUACCAGAAAGGGACGGCUAACUACGUG